CCACGUUCGGAUUGCAGGCUGCAACCCGCCUGCAUGAAGCCGGAAUCGCUAGUAAUCGCGGAUCAGAAUGCCGCGGUGAAUACGUUCCCGGGUCUUGUACACACCGCCCGUCACACCAUGGGAGUCGGGAAUGCCCGAAGUCAGUGGCCCAACCGGAAGGGGGGAGCUGCCGAAGGCAGGCCCGGUGACUGGGGUGAAGUCGUAACAAGGUAAC
rnacentral:rRNA from 1 species